CCUUUCAGCACUUUAAAUAUAUCUUGCCACUCCCUUCUGGCCUGUAGUGUUUCUGUAGAGAAAUCAGCUGAUAGCCUUAUGGGGGUUCCCUUAUAAUUAACGCUUUGCUUUUCUCUUGCUGCCUUUAGAAUCCUCUCUUUAUCUUUAAUUUUUGUCAUUUUUAUUACAAUAUGUCUUGGUGUGGGCCUAUUUGGGUUCAACUUGUUUUGGGCCCUCUGUGCUUCCUGUAUCUUGAUAUCAGUAUCCUUUAGAUUUGGCCAGUUUUCGGCCAUAAUUUCUUCAAAUAUAUUUUCAAUCCCCUUUUCUUUUUCUUUUCCUUCUGGAGUUCCUAUUACAUGUAGAUUGGCCCACUUUAUAUUAUCCCAUAGGUCUCUUUUAUAUUGCUUUCAUGUUUUUUAAUUUGAUUAUCUGUCUGCUGUCCUGUUUGCGUGAUAUCCAUUAUUCUACCUUCCACGUCACUAAUUCAUUCCUCUGCAUUAUUCAUUCUGGUCUCUAUUGCCUUUAGCUUGGUUUGUAUUUCUGCAAAUGAAUUUUCUAGUCUUUCUUGGCUCCUCCUUAUACUUUCUAGCUCCUUUCUGAGGGAAUCUGCAUUACUGUUCAUAUCUUAAUUCCUUCAGUAUUUUCACUAUCUCCCUUUUGAUCUCAAAGUCUGUCCGAUUGCAGAGGUCUGUUUCAUUGUUGAUUGCUUUAGGUGAAUUCUCCUGUUCCUUUAACUGGGAAUGGUUUCUGAGCUUCUUCAUUCUUAUGUUUUUCUUUUUCUGAGAAUUUGGGGAAACCAAACUGUAGUCUGGCACAGUCCAUGGUUGGGCUGGCAGGGCAGCUCCAUGCAGGCAGGGCAUGGUUGCUAGGAGCAUCGUGGCCAGAAGGAUGGCUCCACAUGGCCAGAGCAUGGGUGCAGGGAGUGUAGCAGGCCAGUGGGGCAGCUUCCCACUGGCAGGGGGGCUGGUCUGCAGCAGAUGGCAAGUGGCUUCCAGUCAUGGGUGGCGGGGGUACACUGGGAAUGCUCCACUUUCUGCAAUCCAGAGGGCAAACACACACACUAGGGGACAAGGAAUUUUCUAUGGGGGCUUGCCCCUCCUCCUCUACCCUUCCCAACAAUGGCUCCUUGUCGCCCCUGCAUGUCUGGACUUUCUCCUGUGUUCCCUCUGCUGUGGCUUUCCACUCCCCAGCCCUUAGUGUAGUGCUCCCCCCACCUGCAGCACACUGCUGCCUAGUCCCUUAGGCUGUUUCCACACAGCCAACCCCAGCCUACUCCCAUGGACUGACCUCUGGAGCCUAAGUCUCAGCCCCCAGCCCCCACAUGAGCAUCUCAGGCUGUGGGGUCUGUGUCAGUGGUUCAGAUGAUCUGUGCAUCUCUCACUCUGCUUUUUGGUUCUCAGACCUGCUGCUGCAUUUUUCUCAGUGUCUUGGAGAUCCCUCCAAUUCAGCUGAUCUUUCUGUUGGUUAGGUGGCUUCCCAGGGUGUGGGUUCCCUUUCUCCUUCACUGCUCCCUCACAGGAUGCUAGUCCCAUCCUGAUUCCUGUUCUCUCUCCCUCUUUUUUUCUUUUGUUCUACCCAGUUAUGUCGAGAGUUUCUUGCCCUUUUUGGAGGUUUAAGUUCUCCUGCAAGCAUUCAGUUGAUGUUCUGCAUGAGUCAUUUCACAUGUAGAGGUGUUUUUUUGAUGCAUUUGUGGGAGAGGGUGAGCACGUCCUCUUACUCUUCUGCCAUUUUGCCUCCACCUUACUAAGGAAAUUAAUCAACUAAAAUCCUAUGGAGAAUGAAGUGGGGAGGAAAUAGAAAUGAACAAAUUUCAUAUUUUCUCACUGUUGGGAAUCAACAGAUUUGGUCUAAAGUUUCAAGGAAUAAAUGUAUUACAAAAAGUUACAGUCAUCUUAAUCAUAAUCACAACAGAAAUAUAAACCUUUCAUUUUAAAGAAACACACAAAAACACACCACAUCACACACACACAAGAUAGUAAGAAAAAAAUGCCAAAUAAUAAAAUAUUUAAAGUAGCAAUAACAACAUAAAAAAGCACAAUAUCAAAUAUAGAACAAAAUUAAGACCAAAAUCUGUUUUGUAAAUAAAUCAAAAUGGAUUGAACUAAUGUACAAUGAGAAAGGAAUCUGGUAAAAUUACAAAUAAAACCCAGAAAUAUGCUACCUACUAGAGACAUUUAUAAAAAAAAAAAUCUCAAAAAGUUUGUAAAUAAAAUAAGAAAAAAGUAUACCAAGAAAAUGUAAACAAUAAUAGCAAUAAAUUAGAAGUUGGGAAUCUUAAUUCAGAUGAUCUUGACUUUUAUCUUUGAUUUAAGCUUUAAAAUAUUCUGUGUGGUUUCUUAAAGUAUCACAUCAUGAAAAAGUUUGUAAUACAUAGUGAAAAUAAAUAAUUAUAAAAAUGCAUUUGGUCAGAAGAAUUUUAAGAUGUCCUCCAAUAUUCCUAUUUCUUAGUAUCUGUGGCUUGUAUAAAUCCCUCCUCUCAAGGCUGAGAAAUCAAGGGAGGAUACAGGCUGAAUCUCUAAAUGUGAUGAGAUAUGAUUGUGUUACACCACAUGGCAAAAGGGAUUUUACAGAUGUAAUUAGGAUACUAGAAGACUGGCUCCGAGUUUAUCAAAAGGAAGAUUAUGAAUGCUCCUGGUGUAAUCACAAGAUCCCUUUAAGCCUGGGUCCUGAUGUUGGAGAAAGAAGUCAGAUAUUCGUAGUGUGAGAAGGCCUGUGGUGGGGCCACAGUGCAAAGAACUGCAUAAAACUUCUAGAAGCUGAAAGUUGCCCUCAAACAGAGCCAGCAAGAGGACAGACUUCAGUUCUUCAGCCUCAGGGACCGAAUUCUGCCAACAACUUAAAUGACCCUGGAAGAAGAUCCUGAGCCUUCAAUAAGAGCACAGUUCACACAGGACACUUUGUUUCCAACCAUGUGAGACCCUAAGCACAGUCUGACCUUCCUGACCCACAGAAACAUCAAAAAAACAAAUGGGUGUUUUUCUUAUACAGCAAUCAAAAAUUAAUAUACUCUAGAUACCAUAUUUCAUAGUAGUAAAAAUUGAUAAAGAAACUUUGUUUCUCAAAACAAAGUUAUGAGAAAGUUACUGGUUCAUAUACUAACACAAAGUACUCUUUUGCAGCAUUAGUAGUAGAAGGCUUUAAUUCACCUGUCAGCAUGUCAUCAAGGAGUAUUAAAGCAAGUAAGAAUUUAGGAUAUACUUCAGACAGAGGUAAGUGUGUGUUUAUGUGUGUGGGAAAGAGAAAGAAACCCAUAUAUCAAUCUCUAGCCCUGAAAAAAAGAACGUAUAUUUUCCUAGUGUCCACAAGAAGGUAUACUCACAAAAGAUAAUCUACAUUAAGCUAGGUAUUUCUGUACAAAUUCCAAAAUUCCAAUAGCAGAAAUGUUCUCUGACCAGAAAGUAAAAAAAUUAAAAGCCAACAAUAAAUUUAUGAAACCAAAAACUCUACCAUUUUCAUAUAAGGUAUUCUAUUUUAAACCAUUCUUAGGUUAAAGAGAAAAUUAAUAUGGGGAGUUCCCAUUGUGGUGGGCAGAAACGAAUCCGACUAGAAACCAUGAGGUUGCAGGUUCGAUCCCUGGCCUCGCUCAGUGGUUAAGGCUCUGGCAUUGCCAUGAGCUGUGGUGUAGGUCACAGACAUGGCUUGGAUCUGGCAUUGCUGUGGCUGUGAUGUAAGCUGGCAGCUAUAUCUCCGAUUAGACCCCUAGCCUGGGAACCUCCACAUGCUGCGGGUGUGGCCCUAAAACACAAAAAGACAAAAAAAGAAAAAAGUAAAAAAGAAAGUUAAUAUGAAAAUUACAGAAAGUUGAUAGCACUACAUACCAGAACCUAUAGAAUAUAGCUGGAAGAAUGUAUAGAAAAAAUCCAUAGUUUUAAAUACUUAGAAUUAUAAAUCAGAAAUGUUGGAAAUAAUUGAAUGAAGUUAGGGGAGAAAAAAAAUCUCAAAAUAAAUCUAAGGAAGGCAGAAGGAAAGAAAGCUUACCUAAAAGUGAAGCCAUAUCCCUAAAUUUGAUAAAAGAAAAAUAGUACUAUUGAUUAAAUUCAAAAUUUGAUACUUUCUCACAAUGAGGACCUUUCACUUCUGUGAUGUAUUUUCCACAAACCUAUAUUUACAUUAAAAUCUGGAUACAAAAAAAAAAAAAAGGAGUUCUCGUCGUGGCUCAGUGGUUAACGAAUCCAACUAGGAACCAUGAGGUUGUGGGUUUGAUCCCUGGCCUUGCUCAGUGGGUUAAGGAUCCGGCAUUGCCAUGAGCUGUCGUGUAGGUUGCAGAUGUGGCU
rnacentral:lncRNA from 1 species